rnacentral:rRNA from 1 species
UACGUAGGGACCAAGCGUUGUUCGGAUUUACUGGGCGUAAAGGGCGCGUAGGCGGCAAUUCAAGUCAGUUGUGAAAUCUCCGGGCUUAACUCGGAACGGUCAGCUGAUACUGCUUUGCUAGAGUGCGGAAGGGGCAAUCGGAAUUCUCGGUGUAGCGGUGAAAUGCGUAGAUAUCGAGAGGAACACCUGAGGUGAAGACGGGUUGCUGGGCCGACACUGACGCUGAGGCGCGAAAGCCAGGGUAGCAAACGGG